UUUUUUUUUUCUUUUUAAAGGUUUUGUUUAUUCGUUUGAGAGAGAGAGAGAGAGAGAGAGAGAGCGCACAAGCAGAGGGAGUGGCAGGCAGGAGGAGAGGGAGCAGGGAGCCCAAUGAGGGACUAGAUUCCAGGACCCUGGGAUCAUGACCUGAGCUGAAAGUAGACGCUUAAACAGAUGCUCAACUGACUGAGCCACUCAGGCACCCUGUGACAUUCAACAUUUUUAACAGCCAUUACAAAAGUAUUAGGGAACUGAUCACCAAAUCCAAGGGCCUUUCCUGAAUUAUCUGACACUACUAACCAUUGCUUUCCUUUGUGCAAUUAUUUUCUCAGAUAUUAAGGAAGCAUGGUGGUUCUCUGAAGAUGUAAUGGGUUUAUUUGAGGAAAGAGUGGAGAAACCUUAUUUUUUUAAAACAAGCUUCCAUGUGGAACACCUGGGUGGCUCAGUGGUUGGGCGCCUGCCUUCAGCUCAGGUCAUGAUCCUGGGAUCCAGGAUCGAGUCUUGCAUUGGCCCCCUGAGGGGAGCCUGCUUCUCCCUCUGCCUGUGUCUCUGCCUCUCUCUCUCCCUCUCUAUCUGUGUCUCUCAUGAAUAAAUAAAUAAAUCUUAAAAAAAAAAAGUUUUCAUGUAAUCCCCUUUUAAAAGUUAUUUAUAAUAAUCAUUAAAAUUGUAUUUAUUUAUUUUUAUUUAUAUAGGCCUUAAUCUGAUCCUAGAGCUAUUGGAGCAAAAUGAAACAAUCUUAUUUAAUGAUAGAAUACAAGGUUUGCCAUCUGGAAGUAAACAAUCUUCUAUAGACCACUGGAAUUAAUUUAUCUUACUGGUCCAGAAGACUGAGUCAGUGUGAUAUAAUGGCAAACAAACUUAUUGGAAGACUUGGGGUGGAAUCCAGGCAUUCUAUUUACUUGCUUUUUUGACCCUAGGUAAAAUAAUUUCCCUGGGUCUCAUCUUCUUCCAGCUUUAAAAUGUCACUGAUUCUACACAAAGAACUGACAGAUAUGAAAAUGAUAAAGACGACCAAAGAGAAAUUUGCCAGGUACAGGACAUGUAUGGUAUAGUAUUUGAUAUUACUGAGUGAAAUUAAACAAACAAACAAACCCCAACAAACCAUGUAUUUUAGCUGGGACUUCAGAAGAAAGAAAAAGGGGGUGCCUGGGUGGCUCAGUUGGUUAAGCGUCUGCCUUUGGCUCAGGUCAUGAUCCUGGCUGGAGUCCCUUGGAUGGAGUCCCGCAUCAGGCUCCUUGCUCAGUGGAAGUCUUGCUUCUCUCUCUGCCCUUCACCCUUGCUCAUGAUCUCUCUCUCUCUCUCAAGUAAAUAAAAUCUUAAAAAAAAAAAAAAAAAGAAAUGAAAAAAGUCACUGUGACUUUUAUAAAAUGAAUGAAACUGGGAAAUGAAAAAAACCCCUGUGCUGGGAAAAUAAUUUGUUACAGAGUUGCCUAUAACAUACAAAGUAACGGAACAGAAUUCAGUUACAUAGAUUGGAGAGAAUAAAAAUCACCUUUUAUAUACUUGAGGGAAACUAAAUUACAACAAAACCCCAAACCACCAGGAGAAAUUCCAGCAAUGGAAGAUGAAAGCAUGGGAUUAUUCUGGAAGGUAAAAAUCAAAAUAUAAAAUAAUCUUUUCCUAUUUUUAAGAUGCUUGUAAUCAAAUUCAUAGAAGAUAAUUAGGUAAGCUAUAAUUGUAUUUUGGAAAGAUCUUGUCCCAAAUCUGGUAACUCAUCUGGUAGCAUUACCUUACCUGAAAUACAUUGUUCAAAUGUGGACUAUAGAAGGAUAUUGGAAAAUCAGGCAUCUCAAAUACUGGGAAUGAAAAAAGUAACAACAUUUCAUAAGAGGAAAUCUGAAUGGCUAGUCAAUAUAUGAAAAGGAACUCAAUAACAUCACCAAUAAGAGAAAUUCAAAAAACCAUAAUGACAUACUAAUACACAUCCACCAGACUGGCAAAAAGAUUGACAACACUCAGUGGGUUGAGGGGGUGGAGGAAUGGGACUCACCUAAAAUGGCUCUUAUAACACUCUAGAAGCAGCUCCCAGGUAUAUGCCAUACGGAAACUGAUAUAAAUGUGAUGGACUACACAUACGAAGAAUGUUCACAGCAGCGUUUUUAACAGUUCCACACUGGAAACAAUCCAGAUGUCCAUCAACAAUAGAAUGGCUAGAUAAAUUAUGGCAUAUUGCUACAAUGGAACACUGCAAUUAACUGAACAAAUUACAAUUAUAUGAACAACCUGAACAACAUAUGGAUUAAAAAUGAUGUGUGAAAGCAACAAGCAAACAAAUUACAUCCUAUGUUGUCCCGUUUAAUAAAGUUCAACAGAAAGGGCAAAACUAAACAUAUUGUUUAGGGAUGCUUGCUUGUGAAAAAACAAUAGAGAAAAACAAGGAGAUGAUUAUCAGAAAAGUUCGAAUAAUGGCUACCUCUAAAAGAGAGGGAGAGUUGUGCUCAGGAAGGUCACCAGGGGGGCUUCUAGGAUGCUGGCAAUGUUCCAUUUCUUGACCUGGCUGGUCACAGGGAGGUUUCUUUUAUAACUACUUAUUAUAACAAAUAACUGCUUUAUGCGUUUUAAUGUGUAUUCACAAUAAAAAUGCUCAAAGUAAUUGAAGACUCUGGAUGGCAUUUCUACAAAUUUUACCAGAUAAUUUAGCUUUAUGAAAUCUCUGACAGUAAAAACCACUGAU
rnacentral:lncRNA from 1 species